UUCUUGGUCCAUUAGAGGAAGUAAAAGUCGUAACAAGGUUUCCGUAGGUGAACCUGCGGAAGGAUCAUUACAGUAUGAAAUGGGGAGGGAGACGCUGGCCUCUUUGAGGCAUGUGCGCACCUCUCCUGUUCCAACAUACACACCUGUGCACCUAUGGCGAGCGUGCCGCCCUCCAAGGAGGUGCGCCCGUCCUCACACUGAAGCCUGUCUAACAAUUGCAUGUCUGAAAUGAGCCUUACGGGGCGAAUAAAGUACAACUUUCAACAACGGAUCUCUUGGCUUUCGCAUCGAUGAAGAACGCCGCGAAAGUGCGAAACGUAAUGUGAAUUGCAGAAUUCAGUGAAUCAUCGAAUCUUUGAACGCAUCUUGCGCUCCUUGGUAUUCCGAGGAGCAUGCCUGUUUGAGUGUCGUGUAUAACCUCUCAUCCCUNCCUCCUUUCUAGGGGGUUAGGCUUGGACCUUGGACGUCUGCGGCGGGUGACCGUCGCUCGUCUUGAAAAGCAUUUGGCUGGUCCCUCGAGUCGGUUCGACAACGGUGUGAUAAUAGACGCUUUGUUGACUGCAGCGCCGUUUGGUGUCGGCUCGGGAGGGNCUUAGCGAGUCGUCCUUAUUGCGGGACGAAACACUUAUGACGUUUGACCUCAAAUCAGGUAGGGCUACCCGCUGAACUUAAGCAUAUCAAUAAGNCGGAGGAAA
rnacentral:rRNA from 1 species